rnacentral:lncRNA from 10 species
CGGGGAGGGAGGGGGAGGGGCCGGGAGCUGGGGGUAAGGGAGGAGUGAGCCUGGGUGCUGUGGGGGGAGGGGGUUGUUCAAGGGAUGGGGACGAUCAGGGUCUCUGGGAAGUGCUGACGUGUGCGCGUGUGCGGUGUGUUGCUUGUGGGUGCGUGUGUGGUGUGUGCAUGUGUGUGCGCGCGCGUGUGUGCGGGGUGUGCCGUGAGCGUGUGCCCGCGGUUCGGGGGAUGAGUAGGGGCGCUGACUUUUAGGACCAGCCAUUUGAGUCAAGCUGGAGACGACGUCUUAGAACCUAGGAUGAGUCUCGUUUGGUUUUAGUCUGCAAAGCUCGUCUGCAUCAGACAGGAAUUUUCCCCAGACGCGGGUGCACGUGAAUUAAUUCAUCAGAAGGCGGUUCACGGCCUGAGUGAGGGGGACGAGGGCGGCGAAUUCCUCCGCCUCAUUCCUACCCUGACGAUUCGAGCCUUAGCAAGUUCUGGCCUGUGGAGCCGUCAUCCAGAGCGCACAGCUUCAUGCCCUUGAAGGGCGCAGUGUGUCCCGUGGUGCCCGGUGGGCCCGGACAGAGACCCCAGAGGCUCUGUCUGAAGGAAGCUGCACCCACAGACUCCAUCCAGGCAGCGCGGGCGCGGUCCUGUCGCCUACCUUUCUCGGAAGCCAUCUGCCCAUGUGAAUCUAUGUGAAGGCCCUUCAUGCGCUCCUGGACAUCUGCGUGGGAUUUACUUCAACUGCUAUCGCUGCGAGGAGGACGAGCAUGUUUCACUGUAUUUUUAGCAGAGAGUGCAGAUUUUAGAACCUCGCGAACGGUCCUGUAUCUCCUGCACGAUGACUCUCCAGAACAGGAAUAGUGACCCUUCCUUUGCAUUUAUGGUGCAUAGGUUUUCAAAGGACAGUGUGUAAAUCAGCUUGUGUAAUAAUUGUGGCACCCACGCGCGCAAGCAGACUUACCAUGAGCUGACUUCCACUGAUUAUUUCAGUUUCCAGGGAAACGAGGUUUGCAGCCCCCUCCAGUGAGGGCGGAGCGGCCUCUCCAUUCCCAAUGCAGCAAGGCUGCUGCAGCCACGAUGAUUAGGCUUUGGAGGAGGAAGUGAACGGAUGGGGCCUCAUCCUCCUGCCUCCCUAAAGGGUGAGGGUGGAAGGAUGGGGCUGUGCCCUCUUAGGGCAGGGAAAAACAGCUUGGAGGGGUUUCUGCCAUCAGAGAUCCCAUAGGAGGCAGGUCAGUCCUGCAGAAUUUCUCCCCAGUCUGGCCUCCAGCCUCCCUGGCCCCUUUCUAGAGGCCUCCAUCCCACUGGCGGCUUGCUCCUGCCACCGGGCCUCUGCACAGUCACCUCCUGCAGCCUGGGGUGUGUCGCCUCUCCACGUCCUCACCGGCGUCUGCCUUUGCAUUUCCCAGAUGCUCGCUUCACCCCACUGAGAUGUAACUCAGUUUUGUGGGAUCCCACUGCCCUCCAGGUGCCGCUCCGAGUGCUCUACACAGAUUUUCAUUCAGUCCUUGCGGCACACGAAGGUAGGCGGCCCCACUGCCCUCACAGAGGCUUCCCAUGCAGGAGCCAGUGACUGGCGGAGCGCCGCUCACACUCAGGCUCCGCGAACUGCCUCCCUGCCCUCCCCUGCCCCGGACAGACGGUCCUCCAUAAGAGGCAGGAUUUCCCUGUGGUCCAAAGGUGUGUGUCCCUGCCACAUUGGGAGUUCAGCUCACUGCGGUCCUGUCCAGCUUGCCCCCGUCUCCCAUCCACAUCAGGAUCUGGCUUUGCCCCAGCUAUGUGGAAUGAGUGCAUGAACAAAUGAAUGGGUGGGUUGCUCCAUCUUGUGACAGGACAGCAAAGUCAGCUGGUUCUGCUCCUACGGCGCUCAGGGUCAGGUGAGACAGGCCGGCCCGCAGGCAGACAGGCCCUCAUCUCUGUAUUGGGGGUGGGGAAGGGGCUCUGGCAGGGCGCAUGCCCCAGCAGCAGGAACGUCAAGAGCAGAGGCCCUGGAGGAGACAGCCCGGAGCUGGCGCACAGUAAAGUCUUCAGAUAGGAGGGGCAGAGUGAGGGUGCCACCGUCGGGCAGCAGGUGCCCACCCAGAAGGGUCUUUGAGCCUUGCGGGGAAGUUCAGACUUUACCCUGAGGAUAAAGGAGGUCCUGGACCCGCAGGAGGAUGCCCUGGUGGGUCUAGAAGGAGCCCUGCCACUGGGGAGCUGGUGGGGUUUCCGCCCUCACGGUGCAAUCACAGGGUUGCCUGCUUAUCUCCCCCGCCCUUUUCCCAUCACUUCCUGAGACUCUGCAGAUGGUCAGCAGUGUUCCUGAGUGGAUGACAUUGGGUGGGCAGAGAGAGGGGAGGGCAGUCUGUGGUCCCAGUCAUGUAGAGCUUCCUUGUACAGUCUGUGGUCCCAGUCAUGUAGAGCUUCCUUGUACAGUCUGUUGAGCUCACAUACCCUCAAUGGCCCUUCACUCACAGGGAUGGCCUCUGCACUUCAGCUGGUUUCUGACACCUAAAAACAGAAGUGGAAAAGGGAGCAGACGCAGCCACAUUUUGAAAGCUGAUUCGGUUGCUUUCUGGCAGAAUCCCUGCCCCCAAGCACCUGCCAGGCCCACCCAUGAAGCCUCUUCCCACGCCUUAACUCUGCCCCAUGAGGGGACCUCAAGCAGUUGCAGUCUAGUCAGGUGAUUUGCAGAGCUCAGGGCUCAGGGAGGGGCACCCACCUCAGAAAAAAGCGCCGUGCUCAUGAGAAAUGACUUCUACAGGUUGUUGGGGAAAGAGGAGUUAUUUUAAAGAUCACAGAGCCCGUGAUGUGCCAGGCGCACCCACACAGGGCAUAUAGUCCCCGCAGCUGCCUCUGUGCUGGGGCCACGUCACCGUCCUGUCCUAAAGACAAGCAAUGUGAAGCCCAGAGAUGGUAUCUUAAAACAAUCGUGUGGUUUUUUUCUGAUUACAACAGCAAUUGUGUUAAUCCAACAAUAUUUUUCCUAUCAACUGUAA